UUGUUGGUGCAACCAGGCAUAAAUGAUAAGACAGUAAAAUUUGUUUGGAUGCUGGUACGUUCUGAUUGGUUAAAAAAAGAGAAAGGGAGGUUUUAGGAUUAGAUGGAGCUUUGCUACGGGAAGAAAUGGCAUUGUGAGAUUUGAAUACCGGGCGAGAACACUACAGUUUUGCUGAGACGACAGUGCUAAGUAGCCAAGUGUUAUGAAAAGUAUAUGUUGUGAAAAGUUGUGUUUGUGGAAAGAGUUCGAACUGUGGUAGCAGGCAGAAGAAAUCGAAGAAAUAACUGACAUGCUAGAAGGAGUUGUUCAUGUAGUUAAGUGUUGGAGCAGAGGAGCUAGCAGGAGUAUUUGGAGAAACUGAUAAGUACGAGCAAGGUGAAAAAGUCAUAAUCAAAGGAGAGUGAGAAGUCAACAAUUUUGGGGACAAAAGGUUAGUUUUGUCAUUUUAGUAAACAGAGACUAUCAAUCACGACCACCUAGUUAAAUUAGAGUUAUUCGUUUCGUUGGUUUUUUAUUGAGAAUUAAAGUAAAUUAUAAUUUAUCUUGAAUCGCUAAAAUUAAGAAAUCUUUGAUUUGGAUAUAAGUUUAAUUAAUCUUUAUUGAUAAUUUUGGGUGUAUGAUUUGAUGGAUGUUUGAAUUUUUUAUUAUUCUGAUCAUUGUAUAUGGUAUAUGUUUAUUUGAUCUUUUUACUUUCAAUACUUGAUUGAUUUUAAAAUAUAACUUGCUUUGUAAUUUCAUAAUUUUGCUGUAAAUUUAUUUUCCUAUUGACUAUCCCUUUCCUCAAAGGCAACUACAGGGGCGUCAUUUGAA
rnacentral:lncRNA from 1 species